UACAGAGGUCUCAAGCGUUGUUCGGAUUCAUUGGGCGUAAAGGGUGCGUAGGCGGCGCGGUAAGUCGGGUGUGAAAUCUUGGAGCUUAACUCCGAAACUGCAUUCGAUACUGCCGUGCUUGAGGACUGGAGAGGAGACUGGAAUUUACGGUGUAGCGGUGAAAUGCGUAGAUAUCGUAAGGAAGACCAGUGGCGAAGGCGGGUCUCUGGACAGUUCCUGACGCUGAGGCACGAAGGCCAGGGGAGCAAACGGGA
rnacentral:rRNA from 1 species